CGUAGGGAGCAAGCGUUGUCCGGAAUCAUUGGGCGUAAAGCGCGCGUAGGCGGCCCGGUAAGUCCGCUCUGAAAGUCCAGGGCUCAACCCUGGAAAGCGGGUGGAUACUGCCGGGCUAGAAUCCGGAAGAGGCGAGUGGAAUUCCUGGUGUAGCGGUGGAAUGCGCAGAUAUCAGGAGGAACACCAAUAGCGAAGGCAGCUCGCUGGGACGGUAUUGACGCUAAGGCGCGAAAGCGUGGGGAGCAAACAGGAUUAGAUACCCUGGUAGUCCACGCCGUAAACGAUGGGUACUAGGUGUGGGAGGUGUCGACUCCUCCCGUGCCGACGCUAACGCAUUAAGUACCCCGCCUGGGGAGUACGGCCGCAAGGCUA
rnacentral:rRNA from 1 species